rnacentral:tRNA from 1 species
CAAAAGAUAAGCUAAUCAAGCUAAUGGGCUCAUACCUCAUUUAUGAGAGUAAGCCUCUCUCUUUUCA